AACUCCUACGGGAGGCAGCAGUGGGGAAUAUUGCACAAUGGGCGCAAGCCUGAUGCAGCGACGCCGCGUGAGGGAUGACGGCCUUCGGGUUGUAAACCUCUUUCAGUAGGGAAGAAGCGAAAGUGACGGUACCUGCAGAAGAAGCGCCGGCUAACUACGUGCCAGCAGCCGCGGUAAUACGUAGGGCGCAAGCGUUAUCCGGAAUUAUUGGGCGUAAAGAGCUCGUAGGCGGUUUGUCGCGUCUGCCGUGAAAGUCCGGGGCUCAACUCCGGAUCUGCGGUGGGUACGGGCAGACUAGAGUGAUGUAGGGGAGACUGGAAUUCCUGGUGUAGCGGUGAAAUGCGCAGAUAUCAGGAGGAACACCGAUGGCGAAGGCAGGUCUCUGGGCAUUAACUGACGCUGAGGAGCGAAAGCAUGGGGAGCGAACAGGAUUAGAUACCCUGGUAGUCCAUGCCGUAAACGUUGGGCACUAGGUGUGGGGGACAUUCCACGUUUUCCGCGCCGUAGCUAACGCAUUAAGUGCCCCGCCUGGGGAGUACGGCCGCAAGGCUAAAACUCAAAGGAAUUGACGGGGGCCCGCACAAGCGGCGGAGCAUGCGGAUUAAUUCGAUGCAACGCGAAGAACCUUACCAAGGCUUGACAUGAACCGGACCGCUGCAGAAAUGUGGUUUCCCCUUUGGGGCUGGUUUACAGGUGGUGCAUGGUUGUCGUCAGCUCGUGUCGUGAGAUGUUGGGUUAAGUCCCGCAACGAGCGCAACCCUCGUUCUAUGUUGCCAGCACGUGAUGGUGGGGACUCAUAGGAGACUGCCGGGGUCAACUCGGAGGAAGGUGGGGACGACGUCAAAUCAUCAUGCCCCUUAUGUCUUGGGCUUCACGCAUGCUACAAUGGCCGGUACAAAG
rnacentral:rRNA from 1 species